rnacentral:rRNA from 1 species
CCUACGGGUGGCAGCAGUGAGGAAUAUUGGUCAAUGGCCGAGAGGCUGAACCAGCCAAGUCGCGUGAGGGAAGACGGCCCUACGGGUUGUAAACCUCUUUUGUCGGGGAGCAAAGAGAGUCACGUGUGACUCAUUGAGAGUACCCGAAGAAAAAGCAUCGGCUAACUCCGUGCCAGCAGCCGCGGUAAUACGGAGGAUGCGAGCGUUAUCCGGAUUCAUUGGGUUUAAAGGGUGCGCAGGCGGGCCUUUAAGCCGGCGGUGCAAUCGCGGGGCUCAACCCCGCCGAGCCGUCGGAACUGGGGGCCUUGAGUGCGGCGGAGGCAUGCGGAAUGCGCGGUGUAGCGGUGAAAUGCGUAGAUAUUGGGAAGAACACCAGCGGCGAAGGCGAUUCACUGGACUGUAACUGACACUGAGGCACGAAAGCGUGGGGAGCAAACAGGAUUAGAUACCCUUGUAGUC